GAACGCUGGCGGCAUGCCUUACACAUGCAAGUCGAACGGCAGCAUGGAGGAGCUUGCUCCUCUGAUGGCGAGUGGCGAACGGGUGAGUAAAGCAUCGGAACGUGCCGUGUAGUGGGGGAUAACGUAGCGAAAGUUACGCUAAUACCGCAUACGCACCGAGGUGGAAAGCAGGGGAUCGCAAGACCUUGCGCUAUACGAGCGGCCGAUGUCAGAUUAGCUAGUUGGUAUGGGUAAAGGCCUACCA
rnacentral:rRNA from 1 species